rnacentral:rRNA from 1 species
UGGGGAAUAUUGGACAAUGGGCGAAAGCCUGAUCCAGCCAUGCCGCGUGUGUGAAGAAGGUCUCCGGAUUGUAAAGCACCUUAAGUUGGGGGGAAGAGCAGUUACCUAAUACGUGAUUGUUUUGACGUUACCGACAGAAUAAGCACCGGCUAACUCUGUGCCAGCAGCCGCGGUAAUACAGAGGGUGCAAGCGUUAAUCGGAAUUACUGGGCGCAAAGCGCGCGUAGGUGGUUAGUUAAGUCGGAUGUGAAAUCCCCGGGCUCAACCUGGGAACUGCAUUCCGAACUGGCUGACUAGAGUAUGGUGGAGGGUGGUGGAAUUUCCUGUGUAGCGGUGAAAUGCGUAGAUAUAGGAAGAGACACCAGUGGCGAAAGCGACCACCUGGACUGAUACUGACACUGAGGUGCGAAAGCGUGGGGAGCAAACA